CCCUCGGGCUGGCGGAGGCGCCGGAGGAGCCCCCGAGCUGCAGCCGUCUCCCUCGGGCUGCUGCCGGUGCUGCGGGCGGAGGCGGCUCCGCCGCGUGUUGGGCGCUGCGAGCAGGGAGCGCUGCGGUAUCGCCGGCAUGACGGGGUUGCUGCCUGCGUUAGUGCUCGUGGCUCUUUGUGCCGUGACAGCGGAUGGAGCGGCGCUGAGCGGUAAAGCCAGAGAUGGCCGGGAGAAUGCCCAGCGCAGGGAGCGGGCGGGCUGUAUGCUUCGGAUGGCACAGGAUACUCAGAAAAUAUGUCUCCCUUAGAGUCCCACAGAAACGUUCUCAGUGCGAUCUCUAUCAAGUGCUAUGAGUCUUGAUCAAUUGGAGAAGAGCCCAAGAGAAAUUUUUCAUCCCUUGAUAUAAAAGGGAUCGGUGAAUUUUAACUUUGGAGUCCCCUAUGCUAAGGAUGCUCAGCUUACAGGUGAUGAAAUGUUCAGUAAUGUAUUUGCUGCAGCUCUGCUUACCCAAGCUUUGGGUUCCUUCUGUCCCACUGGGAGUUGCCCAAUUUGGUUGCAUCUGGUGAAAUUCACCCUGAGACCUUACAGAAGCAGCUCCAACUACGUGAGAGCCAUUUGCAGUUCUCUCCAGACGCCUGGAGAAUGGGCGACGUUUCUGAGGAUCCGGCGAGCGUGCCUCUAUCAAAACUCAGUCUGUGAAGUUUCUGGGGAAAACUCUUCUGUGUCCUG